GACGAACGCUGGCGGCGUGCUUAAUACAUGCAAGUCGAACGCAGUGGGGACGGGUGAGUAACACGUGGGUAACCUCCCAUCAGAGGGGAUAACACUUGGAAACAGGUGCUAAACCGAUACUGAUGGAUGAACUAGCGGGGCAUGAGAUAGUUGGUGGGGUAACGGCUCACCAAGGCCACGAUGCAUAGCCGGCCUGAGAGGCUGAUCGGCCACACUGGGACUGAUACACGGCCCAGACUCCUACGGGAGGCAGCAGGGGGGAAUCUUCGGCAAUGGGGGAAAGUCUGACCGAGCAACGCCGCGUGUGUGAUGAAGGUUUUCGGAUCGUAAAGCUCUGUUGUCAGAGAAGCGGUAUCUGACCAGAAAGCCACGGCUAACUACGUGCCAGCAGCCGCGGUAAUUC
rnacentral:rRNA from 1 species